UACGUAGGGUGCAAGCGUUAAUCGGAAUUACUGGGCGUAAAGGGUGUGUAGGCGGUUUUUUAAGUCUGAUGUGAAAUCCCCGGGCUCAACCCGGGAACUGCGUCCGAUACUGGCAGGCUUGAAUCCGGGAGAGGGAUGCGGAAUUCCAGGUGUAGCGGUGAAAUGCGUAGAUAUCUGGAGGAACACCGGUGGCGAAGGCGGCAUCCUGGACCGGCAUUGACGCUGAGGCGCGAAAGCCAGGGGAGCAAGCGGG
rnacentral:rRNA from 1 species